AUACGGAGGGUGCAAGCGUUAUUCAGAAUCACUGGGCGUAAAGGACGCGUAGGCGGGUUGGCAAGUCAGAUGUGAAAUCCUACAGCUUAACUGUAGAACUGCAUUUGAAACUGCUAACCUAGAGUAUGGGAGGGGGAGAUGGAAUUAGUGGUGUAGGGGUAAAAUCCGUAGAUAUCACUAGGAAUACCGAAAGCGAAGGCGAUCUCCUGGAACAUAACUGACGCUAAGGCGUGAAAGCGUGGGGAGCAAACAGGAUUAGAAACCCUAGUAGUCC
rnacentral:rRNA from 1 species